rnacentral:misc_RNA from 1 species
ACACACGUUUUCUCUUACAGAUUUGUUUGUGACGAUGAGCACAACGCCCGCUCCCAUUGUCCUCGUCUUAGUGUCUGCCCUUCUGCUUACCUGCAACGUCUUCUGGUUGUAUUCCUCAACCACACAAACAGGGGUGAGUUGUCCUCCUCCAUCACCACCACCACCACCACACACAACAACCACAGAGGUCUAUGCGUUACCUCACCAUCGGCAUAUCGUCAGUGUGGAGGAAAGACGACUACCUCACGAGGACCAUCGACUCUAUCCUCAAGGAGACGACCGAACAGGAGCGGGCUGACGUGCUGAUCUUCCUCCUCCUGGCUGACGCUGACUCCAAUCUUAGGACCCAGCGAGCCCUGGACCUGGGUGUGAGGUACAACAGGGAGAUACAGUCUGGCCUCCUGCGAGUACUGCAGCCCCCCGCCGUCCUCUACCCCAGCAUAGACUUCACCGCCAUCAGGAGAACCUACAAUGACUCCGUCGCCAGGGUGCAGUGGAGGACCAAACAGGUGUUGGAUUUCGCAUUCCUGUUCUGGUAUGUAUGGACGCAUCACCCCUCAACCUACUACUUGGUGCUCGAGGACGAUGUACUCAGCGCCAAACACUUCGUCACGGCUAUCAAGGAUUUCGUCACGCUACACAAAGGUCACCACUGGAUCUCUUUACAGCUGGCCGGGUUCUUGGGUAUCGGUCAGUUAGUUCGGUGUAGUGACCUCGACCGUCUGGUGUCGUUCUUGUUGCUGUUUUACCGCGAGCAUCCCGUCGACGUUCUAAUCAACCAGUGGAUCAACCUCAUGGCCCCGGAGAAGCCCCCCAAAGACCGCCCCACCAGGAGGGUCCCCGGCCUCUUCCAGCACAUUGGCGUCCACUCCACCCUGGCCAACAAGACCCAGUCACUCAAGGACAACACCUUCAGCCUGGUGAAGCGUCGGUUCUCCCACGUCAACCCAACAGCCGACGUGGUGACGACGAUCCGCCAGUACAAGGCCUACCUGGCGGAGCACGCGUACUCCUCCGCCCCGGGCAUGUUCUGGGGUAUACCUAAGCCAGGCGACACCUUCGACAUCCUGUUCUCCGAGCCCCUCAAGAUCUCCAGGGUGGUGGUGCUCACUGGGGCCGCCAUUAACAAGAAGAUUCGUGACCGCCUUCUGUACGGCAGCUUGGAGGUGUCCUCAACCUUCGUCAAGAUGGAGACCCCCAAACGGGCCUUGUGUAAGAGUUUCUCAUCUGUCGGGGAAUUCAAGAAUGGUGAGUUAGACGUCAGGAGCCUGAGGGAGACGCACCACAAAGGUAUUCAGUGCCUCAGAAUAGCCAUCGGCAUGAAGCAGAAAUCCUGGGUAGCCAUCACAGAGGUGGCAGUGUUUACUGAGGACGACCUGGAGGGAGGAGACGCCCACCACACCUCCUUGACCGCGACCACACUCCAGUUCACACAGGACAACACCGUUUAAUAAUGGUGAAGUCUUGACGCUAAGGAAGCAUCAGUAGGUGGCAGUGACCUGCUCGGGGACGUGAGAAUGUUUCUACUAGACACACUGAUGGCUGCUGUACCACCUCCCGGGUCCACUGACUAAGACUGUGACCAACACAAACUUGUCUGGUUAUUGACUGCAAGUUUCUAGAAGCAGUGAACCAAAAGAACAAAAAAACAGUAUAAUAGUUGUUCAGUAUGAAGCCCUGACAGGACUCUGGCUGGGAGGGAGAGCACGAGUCACCUCUCUCAAGGUUCACGAUAAAAGACUAAGUCUGAUGAGUUAUUAUACAACAGCGAGAACAACGUUGGAGUAAAGGUUUAGCGAACAGUUGUUUUCUUCCGUGAGAGCUGGUGGUGGUGAUAGUGGUGGUGAUAGUGGUGGUGAUAGUGGUGGUGAUGGUGGUGGUGGUG